UGCUUGUGAGCUAAUUAGAGCUGGAUGACAUAAUGGAAAAAGCACUUGAUCAGCAGCAAUUUGAGUUCUGUAUUAUGCAUUAACAAUUUCUACGGUCAUCAUUGAAUUGUACUGAUGAUUAGCAUGAUAUGUCAAGUCAUCAUAUGCAAGAUAAGAGUCUCAAGCACUUUGUGUAGGUGUUCAUUGAGACGUGAUGGAACUUGUGGAACAUAAUACAUUGAGGCAAUCCUAUUGGAUAUGGUUCAGGCAGAGGAUUACUUGCAGCAGCCCCCUAUUCAGGAACUAAUUGGAAGGGAUCUUCAUGAUAUAUAAUGAAUGGAAAUUCAGACAUAUUUCGAGGAGGCUUGCAACAACACUGGAGUAAUUGGUACAUGAAGUAGAUCGAGGAAGAUCCCUGCAAAGUUCAUCUUGAAGUAGAGGAAAAUAACUAACUUGUAAAGCUUAAUUAUCGAUCUUGUAAAUUUUGGUAGAAGCUUCAUUCAUUUUGU
rnacentral:lncRNA from 1 species